UGGGGCCGCGGUUGUGGCGGAGUGUGCGGGUGAGGCGGCGUGUGGUGUUGGGGGCACGGUUGUGGCGGAGUAUGCGGGUGGGGCCACGGUUGUGGUGGAGUGUGUGGGUGGGGCCACGGGUGUGGCGGUAUGUGCGGUUGGGGACACGGGUGUGGCGGCGUGUGCGGUUGAGGCGGGAGGGGUCAGGGAGGAUGCGGUUGGGGUCAUUGGGGCGGUAGUGGAUAACAAGGUAGGGGCUGUGGCAGUGGCGGUAGUCCGUUCACGGGUCACCUGUGCGACUUCGACGACCCCACACACCUACGCGAGUUGCCCAACCACGUACGGCACUAGCCAUCGUCACGUUCACUGUGAACAACGGGAGAUGACCGGCCGCACCGGCCACAACUGCGGCGUGAGACGGAGACAUGGUGGUAGCUCGAGUUCCGUGAGUUGUAGUUGGAGCACGACGGUUAGCGGUAGGUCCACGAACAAUUGGUCACGCCGUUCUGUCACGGAUCGCUAAAGGUUACGGGACACUGCGGUGGGAGCGGCUGUGGCGGCGGUAGGGGAUAGUGGGGUGGUGGAUGGGGACAGUGAGGAAGCGGAUGUGGCGGUAGGGGACACCAGGGCUGGGGUUACGGUCAAUGUGGCGGCGGUAGCGGCGGCUGAGGACAGUUAGGAAGCGGAUGUGGCGGUAGGGGACACCAGGGUUGGGGUCACGGUCAAUGUGGUAGCGGUAGCGGUGGCUGAGGACAGUUAGGAAGCGGAUGUGGCGGUAGGGGACACCAGGGCUGGGGUCACGGUCAAUGUGGGGGCAGUAGCGGCGGUUACCCGUUUACGGGUCAACUGUGUGACUUCAACGAUCCCACGCACCUGCGGGAGUUACCCGACCACGUGUGCCACUAGCCAUCGUCACGGUCGCUGUGGACAACGGGCGAGAACAGACCACACCGGCCGGAGCUGCGGCGCGAGACGGAGACGUGGUGGUAGCUCGAGUUCCGCGAGUUGUAGUUGGAGCACAACGGUUAGCGGUAGGUUCACGAGCAAUUGGUCACGCCGUUCUGUCACGGGUUGCUGAAGGUCACGGGACGCUGCGGCGGUAGCGGCUGUGGCCAAUGCGGCGGUUGGGGUGGACGUUUCGGAGGGUGGGGACAAUGUGGUCAUUGAGGCGGUAGCGGUUGUGGUUGUGGCCAAUGCGGAGGCAGGGGACACCAGGGCCGGGGUCAGGGUCGCUGCGGCGGCGGUAGCAGCAGUUGUCCGUUCACGGGGUAGCUGUGCGACUUUAACAACCCGACGCACCUGCGCGAGCUGCCCGACCACGUGCGCGAUUAGCCAUCGUCACGGUCGCUGUUUACGACGGGUGACAAUAGGCCACACCGACUGGAGCUGCGUCGCGAGACGGAGACGUGCUGUUAGUUCGAGUUCCGCGAGUUGUAGUUGGAGCACGACGGGUAUCGGUAACUCCACGAGCAGUUGGUUACGCCGUUCUGUCACGGACUGCUGAAGGUUACGGGAUCAAUUCGAGGUAGUUCAUUAUAUCACGAUACUCAUAGUGGACGUAGACUUACGCUAUGUAGGUAAUUUAGAGAACACUCCAGUGAAUACGUUAUUCAUUAUAGAUGUACACGUCGAGAUUGAUGAUCACUACACCUCGACACCUUGUACGUACGUAAAACAAUCACAUUAACAGAUAGUUUAUCAUUGGCACAUUGCAAAAUAGUUGACACCAGAAGGUAACCAAACAUCACACAAGAAAGGAGAUUUAUUUUACGGAACGCGACACAUCUUACUUGAAAAAGUG
rnacentral:rRNA from 1 species